GCAAGUUUGUUUGUCUUGUUGAUGAUUUCUGAUGCUCUUUAGAUUUAGAUUACUGCCUAUCUUAAGUAUUUUUUUUUUAUUUGAAAACAUGGUUUAAGAUUUGUGUUUCACUAUUUUAUAAAAACAUGUCUCUGGGAAAUUUUUUUUACUCCAAAAGUGUUCUUUUGUAUGAGAUUUAGCUGUUGUCCGUAUCAGAAUUUACAUUAGCGUAACCUUCAUUUACUUACUUACAAGAAUACAUAUAGCCUGUGGAAACUAUGGUUUAAGGUCCCUAUUUAACUAGGUAUUAUGUAAGAGCAUGCCGAUAAGAAAUUUUAUUCGAAAGUGCUCAUCUGAAUGUGAUUUAUUUUCUGCCCAUAUCAUAAAGUGUUGUUCUGGAUUUUCCCUACUCUGUUUGGAAUUAGAAAACGUAGCUUAGAACUUAGAGGUAUCUUUUUUAUAUAUAUAUAUAUAUCUAUGAAAAUGAUCUGGUGCUUAAGUCAAGUUUGGGACAAGCUCAAAGUCUCUGUCAAAAGCAUGCUGUAAUAUUUAAAAAAAAAAAAAUCACUCUUUUUGAUUGGGUUUGAAAGCAUGUUAGUAGCUCAAAGUUUUCCUUAAUAGCAUAUUAAUAGCCCAAGAAGUCCACUGAUUUAGCUUUAAUUAUGUUCCUCCCAUGUUUAUGGCUAAUGAUAUAUUCUAUUUAUAGCACCAUAUGCUCUUGAUGUGAAAGAUAUAAAUGUAACAAAAUGGAGUACCAUGUUAGAAUACUUUGAGAACGAGUUUUGUUCACAAGUGUAUAUUUGUUAUCCUUGAUGGUGACGCUUAUUUUUCUUAUCUAUUCUCCUUUAUAUAAGAGUUUCUUAUACUAAUCCUUCUUUUCAUCUCUUUAUUUUGCAUGUCACGGAGUCGCAAAGAGUCUCGAAUGAGACUCACAUCGCCGAUAGUCAAAAUUUGCAUACAUCUAUGUCGUCCCCUCGCUGUACCUCCAAGCAGAAAAAGAAAAGGAAAUUAAAAGAGGGACGAUGAAGCUUCCAUUCCUUAUUAUUCAUUUCCUUGCACUCCCCCAUCCGAACAAGAAAAAAAAAAAGAAAUGAGAGCGAGGGUGUUGCUUUUAUUUUCUUUGAUUCUGUUAUGAUAUGGUUGUUUUGGUAUUAAUCUGUUGAACUUUUACUUUGCUUUUGAUGAUAGAGGGAUAGGUCCCGGAUUAUUUUGUAACUUAGAAAGGGUAGAUGUUAUGUGGGGAAACCAAUAGCUUCUUUUCUUUCUCAUUUUGGUAGUCCUUAAUACCUAUAAUUAAGAAACCAGAAUUUGUUUAUACAAUAACUUUUUUUGCAAAUUGGUUUUCCAGAACUUCAAUAGCUUCUUUCGAGUUAAUGAAAAUUGGUUUUCCUUAUGGUGAAGGAAGUUGAAAUACUAUUAAGCAAGUAUUGGCUAAACCUUUUUUUCUUAACAAACAAUUAUCAAGUUCUAAUAUAGAGGUGCAACUUUUAUUUUUAAGAAGGAACUAAUUAAAGGAAGUACUUUUUUUUUUUUUACGUCACUGGAACAUUUUUUUUUUAUCAUUCAGGUUUCUUUGAUCAUUGAACAUUCAUAUGAUAUAUUUCCAGCCAAAGAUUUAAACUUGCAAGACUUCUUUAAAUGAUAACUUAGUGCUGAGUUCCAUUUUUAAAAAAAAUGACACCAACAUGCAUGGAUUACAAAAUGAUUUUAAGCUAUCCCACUUGGUGGAUGCCCUAGUAUUUUCUUCAUUUAAAUUUAGAAAGUCCUCACGUUAUUAAUUGCCAAAGAUUUCUACUUUAAUCACGUAAAUACUUAAUUAAGAGUACCUUUUUCUCAAGUUAUUUGUAAGAUAUUAAUAUACUAUAUGUUGUCACUAUUUCUUAUAUUAACCUAAGUUUAGUCGGUUAACCGUAUUUAACGGAUCUUAAAGGAUACUUAACCCCUUCUCUUUAGGAUAAUUUGGACUCUUACCUAGAAUCACGUUAGUUAAGUAGACCAUUAAUUGGAGUUAAUUUUUAGCAUUUACUUAGUUAAUAAUUAGGUGUCCUAAUUCACCGUUAAAAUAAUUAGGUGGCGACUCCUUAAGUUGAAUAAUUAGGAAUCACCAAUAUAUUAUACUCCGCUUUGACCCAGUUAAAAUGGGGUA